rnacentral:rRNA from 1 species
UGGGGAAUAUUGCGCAAUGGGGGGAACCCUGACGCAGCAACGCCGCGUGAAGGAAGACGGUUUUCGGAUUGUAAACUUCUUUUCUAAGGGACGAUCGAAGACGGUACCUUAGGAAUAAGCCACGGCUAACUACGUGCCAGCAGCCGCGGUAAUACGUAGGUGGCGAGCGUUGUCCGGAAUUACUGGGUGUAAAGGGCGAGUAGGCGGGCCUGCAAGUCAGAUGUGAAAUACAGGGGCUUAACUCCUGGGCUGCAUUUGAAACUGUGGGUCUUGAGUGAUGGAGAGGCAGGCGGAAUUCCCAGUGUAGCGGUGAAAUGCGUAGAUAUUGGGAGGAACACCAGUGGCGAAGGCGGCCUGCUGGACAUUAACUGACGCUGAGGCGCGAAAGCGUGGGGAGCAAACAGG